AACUUUUCAGCUAGAGUAUGAUAGAGGAAAGCAGAAUUUCUAGUGUAGAGGUGAAAUUCGUAGAUAUUAGAAAGAAUACCAAUUGCGAAGGGAGCUUUCUGGAUCAUUACUGACACUGAGGAACGAAAGCAUGGGUAGCGAAGAGGAUUAGAUACCCUCGUAGUCCAUGCCGUAAACGAUGUGUGUUAGACGUUGGAAAUUUAUUUUCAGUGUCGCAGGGAAACCGAUAAACACACCGCCUGGGGAGUACGACCGCAAGGUUAAAACUCAAAUGAAUUGACGGGGACCCGCACAAGUAGUGGAGCAUGUGGUUUAAUUCGAAGAUACGCGCAGAACCUUACCAACACUUGACAUGUUCGUCGCGACUCUAAGAGAUUAGAGUUUUCGGUUCGGCCGGACGAAACACAGGUGCUGCAUGGCUGUCGUCAGCUCGUGUCGUGAGAUGUUGGGUUAAGUCCCCGCAACGAGCGCAACCCCUCACUUUUAGUUGCCAUCAUUAAGUUGGGCACUCUGAAAGAACUGCCAGUGAUAAGCUGGAGGAAGGUGGGGAUGACGUCAAGUCCUCAUGGCCCCUUACGUGUUGGGCUACACACGUGCUACAAUGGUAUCUACAACAGGAAGCAAGACUGCGAAGUUAAGCAAAUCCCUAAAAGAUACCUCAGUUCGGAUUGCACUCUGCAACUCGAGUGCAUGAA
rnacentral:rRNA from 1 species